CUGAGGAGCAUUCUCCACGGACACCCGAACAGUCGGGAUGGUAAACGUCUUGUGGCAGAGCCACUUCGGAAGCGAAUGUCUUUCGGUGGUGCUCAUGGGUGGAACACUGACAUGCGCCGGCGUUGCUUCGGGUCCUUAUGGGUUCGGGGUGCCGGAUUUGAAGUAGUCAACACACUGUUGGGUCCUGAAAGAACAGACGUUCUUUCCAGGCAAAAAAUACGAUCCGCUCGGAUCUCCGUUCAUACCGCGAGGGCUUUGGUUCUCGGCUGGUGCGGGUGCAAGGUUCGGGUGGGUGUGUUGUUUGAGAACUGCACAGUGGACGCGAGCAUCUUUGUUUUGUAAGUUUUUAAGAGCGUAC
rnacentral:misc_RNA from 1 species